CAUUUGCAUUUUUCUUUCUUUCCCUUUUUUCUUUUUUUUUUUCUUCUUUUUCUAAGACUUCUGAUGUGGCUGGGAGACAAUAUGACGUUGAAGCUGCUUUCUGAGUGGGAUGAAACCCUCUAUGCGCUGCUGUUGAAGAGUUUCAUGAUCGAGGCUGUUCCAUAUCUCUGGGAUUCUUGCUCUGUAGCUCCUUUUAUGUAUGUAAUCGAAAGUUCUAAAAAGUUCUA
rnacentral:ribozyme from 14 species